rnacentral:rRNA from 1 species
AAGGGACAGUAAUGUGUAGAUACCAACCCUCGGGACGGGGAUAGCUGCGGGAAACUGCAGGUAAUACCCGAUAACGUCUAUGGACCAAAGGUGUGAUUCCACCUGGGGACGGGUCUGCAUCCUAUUAGCUAGUUGGCGGGGUAAUGGCCCACCAAGGCUGUGAUGGGUAGCGGGUGUGAGAGCACGACCCGCGUCACUGGGACUGAGAACUGCCCAGACACCUACGGGUGGCUGCAGUCGAGGAUUUUUGGCAAUGAGCGCAAGCUUGACCAAGCGAUACCGCGUGCGGGAUGAAGGCCUUCGGGUUGUAAACCGCUGUCAGUGGGGAGGAAGGUUUCGUGAAGAGCGAAACUUGACUAAUCCGCAGAGGAAGUGAGGGCUAAGCUCGUGCCAGCAGCCGCGGUAAGACGAGCCUCACAAACGUUAUUCGGAAUCACUGGGCUUAAAGGGUGCGUAGGCGGUGUGGAAAGUCGGAUGUGAAAUACCUCAGCUUAACUGAGGAACUGCACUCGAUACUUCCAUGCUAGAGUAAGACAGAGGUGAGUGGAACUGAGGGU